ACUCCGGAGACUGAGCCAUGGGGGGAAAGCAGCGGGACGAGGAUGACGAGGCCUACGGGAAGCCAGUCAAAUACGACCCCUCCUUUCGAGGCCCCAUCAAGAACAGAAGCUGCACAGAUGUCAUCUGCUGCGUCCUCUUCCUGCUCUUCAUUCUAGGUUACAUCGUGGUGGGGAUUGUGGCCUGGUUGUAUGGAGACCCCCGGCAAGUCCUCUACCCCAGGAACUCUACUGGGGCCUACUGUGGCAUGGGGGAGAACAAGUGAGUACAAAGGCGAGAAGAGGAGUGCAGGAGCGAGGCGAGAGAUAAGCCAUAUCUCCUGUACUUCAACAUCUUCAGCUGCAUCCUGUCCAGCAACAUCAUCUCAGUGGCUAAGAACGGCCUACAGUGCCCCACGCCCCAGGUGUGUGUGUCCUCCUGCCCGGAGG
rnacentral:sRNA from 1 species